GUUGGUGUGAUAUAGUGGUUUGAGUGUUGGACUCUGAUUCUGGAGAUCUGUGUUCGAUUCCCUGCUUGAGCA